rnacentral:misc_RNA from 1 species
AAAACCAUCUCUCCCUUUGGGGAGGGGAUUUGCUGGACUUAACCCUCCGGUUAAAUGUAUUAGGUUUGGAUCAGGCUAGUGGCCUGGGACAUUGUGUGCUAGAGACGAGAGUCUUCUCACAGUGCGUCCUAGGUCAUUAAAGCUAGCCUGUGGUAGAGCCUUUAACAGCGCAAAGGGCUUCAAUCUCUUCGGAGGUUGGGGUUCCUUUGGCUACCCUUUCU